AGAUACGCUAAACUUAACCUAACAUAACCUAUCAAAACCCCAAACAGUUACUAUAGGUCUUGACUCAGAAAAUUCAUAUAUGCUUCCUUAUUAAUGAAAAUUUCUAUACAACUAAGUGAGGUCAUUCUUUGUUGAUUUAUACUGUAAAGUGCUGGCUAUCAUGUGUUUGAAGAUACCCUAAACUUAACCUAACAUAACCUAUCAAAACCCCAAACAGUUACUAUAGGUCUUGACUCAGAAAAUUCAUAUAUGCUUCCUUACUAACGAGACUUUCUAUACAACUAAGUGAGGUCAUUCUUUGUAGAUUUAUAUUGUAAAGUGCUGGCUAUCAUGUGUUUGAAGAUACCCUAAACUUAACCUAACAUAACCUAUCAAAACCCCAAACAGUUACUAUAGGUCUUGACUCAGAAAAUUCAUAUAUGCUUCCUUACUAAUGAGACUUUCUAUACAACUAAGUGAGGGAAUUCUUUGUUGAUAUAUACUGUAAAGUGCUGGCUAUCAUGUGUUUGAAGAUACCCUAAACUUAACCUAACAUAACCUAUCAAAACCCCAAACACUUACUUUAUGGAUUGACUCAGAAAAUUCAUAUAUGCUUCCUUACUAAUAAGACUUUCAAUACAACUAAGUGAGGUUAUUCUUUGUUGAUUUAUACUGUAAAGUGCUGGCUAUCAUGUGUUUGAAGAUACCCUAAACUUAACCUAACAUAACCUAUCAAAACCGCAAACAGUUACUAUAGGUCUUGACUCAGAAAAUUCAUAUAUGCUUCCUUACUAAUGAGACUUUCUAUACAACUAAGUGAGGUCAUUCUUUGUUGAUUCAUACUGUAAAGUGCUGGCUAUCAUGUGUUUGAAGAUACCCUAAACUUAACCUAACAUAACCUAUCAAAACCCCAAACAGUUACUAUAGGUCUUGACUCAGAAAAUUCAUAUAUGCUUCCUUACUAGUGAGACUUUCAAUACAACUAAGUGAGGUCAUUCUUUGUUGAUUUAUACUGUAAAGUGCUGGCUAUCAUGUGUUUGAAGAUACCCUAAACUUAACCUAACAUAACCUAUCAAAACCCCAAACAGUUACUAUAUGGAUUGACUCAAAAAAUUCAUAUAUGCUUCCUUACUAACAAGACUCUCUAUACAACUAAGUGAGGUCAUUCUUUGUUGAUUUAUACUGUAAAGUGCUGGCUAUCAUGUGUUUGAAGAUACCCGGCCUAAACUUAACCUAACAUAACCUAUCAAAACCACUAACAGUUACUAGAAGUCUUGACUCAGGAAAUUCAUAUAUGCUUCCUUACUAAUGAGACUUUAUAUACAACUAAGUGAGGUCAUUCUUUGUUGAUUUAUACUGUAAAGUGCUGGCUAUCAUGUGUUUGAAGAUACCCUAAACUUAACCUAACAUAACCUAUCAAAACCCCAAACAGUUACUAUAGGUCUUGACUCAGAAAAUUCAUAUAUGAUUCCUUACUAAUGAGACUUUCUAUACAACUAUGUGAGGUCAUUCUUUGUUGAUAUAUACUGUAAAGUGCUGGCUAUCAUGUGUUUGAAGAUACCCUAAACUUAACCUAACAUAACCUAUCAAAACCGCAAACAGUUACUAUAGGUCUUGACUCAGAAAAUUCAUAUAUGCUUCCUUACUAAUGAGACUUUCUAUACAACUAAGUGAGGGAAUUCUUUGAUGAUUUAUACUGUAAAGUGCUGGCUAUCAUGUGUUUGAAGAUACCCUAAACUUAACCUAACAUAACCUAUCAAAACCCCAAACAGUUACUAUAGGUCUUGACUCAGAAAAUUCAUAUAUGCUUCCUUACUAAUGAGACUUUCUAUACAACUAAGUGAGGUCAUUCUUUGUUGAUAUAUACUGUAAAGUGCUGGCUAUCAUGUGUUUGAAGAUACCCUAAACUUAACCUAACAUAACCUAUCAAAACCCCAAACAGUUACUAUAGGUCUUGACUCAGAAAAUUCAUAUAUGCUUCCUUACUAAUGAGACUUUCUAUACAACUAAGUGAGGGAAUUCUUUGUUGAUUUAUACUGUAAAGUGCUGGCUAUGAUGUGUUUGAAGAUACCCUAAACUUAACCUAACAUAACCUAUCAAAAC